UCUAAGGCAAUGGCGAGUCGAGAGGUGCAAGACCUCGGCGCACUGCUCAGUAACACGUGGACAACCCACCCUGUGGAGGGGGAUAAUCCCGGAAAACUGGGGAUAAUACCCCAUAGGUUAGGGAGGCUGGAAUGCCCCCUAGCUCAAAGGUCCGCCGCCACAGGAUGGGUCUGCGGCCGAUUAGGUUGUUGUUGGGGUAACGGCCCAACAAGCCUUUGAUCGGUACGGGUUGUGGGAGCAAGAGCCCGGAGAUGGAUUCUGAGACACGAAUCCAGGCCCUACGGGGCGCAGCAGGCGCGAAAACUUUACAAUGCGAGAAAUCGUGAUAAGGGAACCCCGAGUGCCCGUAAAUUCGGGCUGUCCGCCAGUGCAAAAAACUGGUGAAGAAAGAGCCGGGCAAGACCGGUGCCAGCCGCCGCGGUAAUACCGGCGGCUCGAGUGGUGGCCACUAUUACUGGGCUUAAAGCGUCCGUAGCUUGGUUGUUAAGUCUCCUGGGAAAUCCAUCGGCUCAACCGAUGGGCGUUCAGGAGAUACUGGCAACCUAGGGACCGGGAGAGGUGAGAGGUACUCCAGGGGUAGGAGUGAAAUCCUGUAAUCCUUGGGGGACCACCUGUGGCGAAGGCGUCUCACUAGAACGGCUCCGACAGUGAGGGACGAAAGCUGGGGGAGCAAACCGGAUUAGAUACCCGGGUAGUCCCAGCUGUAAACGAUGCGCGUUAGGUGUAUCGGUGACCACGAGUCACCGAGGUGCCGAAGAGAAAUCGUGAAACGUGCCGCCUGGGAAGUACGGUCGCAAGGCUGAAACUUAAAGGAAUUGGCGGGGGAGCACCACAACAGGUGGAGCCUGCGGUUUAAUCGGACUCAACGCCGGGAAGCCCACCGGAUAAGACAGCUGAAUGAUAGCCGGGUUGAAGACUCUGCUUGACUAGCUGAGAGGAGGUGCAUGGCCGUCGUCAGUCGUACUGAANAU
rnacentral:rRNA from 1 species